AGCUAAUAGAUACCCUGGUAGUCCACGCCCUAAACGAUGUCUACUAGUUGUUGGUGGAGUAAAAUCCAUGAGUAAACGCAGCUAACGCGUGAAGUAGACCGCCUGGGGAGUACGGUCGCAAGAUUAAAAACUCAAAGGAAUUGACGGGGGGCCCGCACAAGCGGUGGAUUAUGUGGAUUAAUUCGAUGCAACGCAAAAACCUUACCUGGCCUUGACAUGCCACUAACGAAGCAGAGAUGCAUUAGGUGCCCGUAACGGGAAAGUGGACACAGGUGCUGCAUGGCUGUCGUCAGCUCGUGUCGUGAGAUGUUGGGUUAAGUCCCGCAACGAGCGCAACCCUUGCCAUUAAUUGCCAUCAUUUAGUUGGGCACUUUAAUGGGACUGCCGGUGACAAACCGGAGGAAGGUGGGGAUGACGUCAAGUCCUCAUGGCCCUUAUGGCCAGGGCUUCACACGUAAUACAAUGGUCGGUACAGAGAGUUGCCAACCCGCGAGGGGUAGCUAAUCUCAGAAAGCCGAUCGUAGUCCGGAUUGUUCU
rnacentral:rRNA from 1 species